GUACGGGGACAACUGAUAAGUUGUGAAACGGGGCAGAUAAGAUAGUGGCUGAGACGAAAUCUAAGCAAAUAAGUGCAAAGCCAAAGAUAUCGAAAAUGUCGAAAGCACCAGGCCAUGCUUAUCGAGGCAUUCCGAAAAUCGAAAACUGUUUGCUCGAAAGUGCAAUAAAAGUGUUGCGUAUCCUUCCGCUGUUGCAUCUGUCCGGGUCCAGGCGGAAAGGAGCGUUGAGCAUUGCGUUUUAUGACUUGGUUUUAUGGCUCCGAUUAUUCCUUUCAAUACUUUGUUGUGGCUCAUUAAGUGGGCUGUGCAGUUGCUUGAUAUGGUAAUUGAAUUUAAAUAUACUUAUGACUUAUAUUGCAUAAUGAAAA